UGUAAGCAUGGUUGUGCUGGUAAUGGAUACAUGCUGUAAUAUGAUGUUGUGAUUUUUGCAUUCAUUUCACAUGAUAAUAAGGAGUUGGCAAAAGUGCAGACAACGUCUGUACAGCUCCACACAAGAUUUGCUUUGGACUACGGCAGCAUGCUAUCUUCGUUUUCAUGGACUUGUUUCUCAUUUUUUUAAAUGUAACCUCUGCCACAGCUCAUCUUCAGUUACUUUGGUUCCUGCUUCGCUGCUGAGACAUUCAUGUUGAGCAUUGACAAGAAGAUUGUCAACAACCGCAUCACAACCUUCACCUCUGCCAUCUGCCUAAUGAUUGGCAGUUACUACUGCUUUAACAUACACUACCCUGUAGAACUACGAUCAACACUGGAGUUCCUUCGACGGUGUUUCUUUUCCAUAAAUCCUGAGAGAGGCAUCAAGGUUGAAUCCAAGAAGGAAAAAAGUGAUCUCAGUCAAUUCCAGAGUUCUCACUCUCAUCUCAGACACUGCUGACCAUGAGUGGAUCUAGUCCUACCCCUCUUGUUUGAGAUGUGAUAAAGAAGAAUUGAUAAAGGUAUACUGUGUUGCAUACUCUUCAGAUGUUCUGUUUUUGAAACAGUUAUUAUGUUUCUGAUUGUGAGAAGGAAGUUUUUAACAAUGUUAAGUUUUACUAGACACAAUUUGUGAAAGUACAUGUUCUACUUUUGCUUUACUGUUUUAUAUCUGAAAAAUGUGGUAAACCUGCUAUUUCCGGAGUUUCUUGGAAUCUAAUUUUCCUACAGUUUGAAAGAUAUUUUUAUUUUAACAGUGUAAAAAAGGUAUGCUGCAUGUAAAUUGCUAGCAUUUUGUAGUUAUCCAAAAAUUGCAGUUGAAGUUCUCAAAACAAGUGUGAAGGUUUUGUUUAUUACCUGAUGCAGUUUGAAGAUGUACAUUUUCAGCGUCUGAAAUAUAUUGAUGUAAACUUGUUCCUGGAAUUUCUCUAAUUCAGAUUUUCUUUCAGUCAUAGAAAAAAUGUUUCAUUGUCUAUAUUUGCAUUUGGAUAAUUUGAAAAAGCAACAUUCUAUGUGUACUGAUAUUUAUGUAGUGAGAACAGCACCAAUAACACUUAAGUUCUCUAAGUUAUGGUAAAAGUGUCUGAAUUGUCUGCUAUAGGUAAUGUAAGAUAUAAUGUAUGCUCAACUUACAACACUGGUUUUGCACAGUUUGAACAGAACUUUUAAGAAUUCAGUAACUCUUUAUUGUUGCUGUCAUGGAGGUAACUAGUAACUAUUUGUGUUUAUUUGAGUAAAAAUGUAAACGUUUGAUGUUCACAACAUCAAAGAUGUUAAAUAAAAUACUUUAUUUAACAUCUUUGAUGUUAAAUAAACAUUUUUGUGUUACAUUUAGGAAUUUGAGUAGCUUACAGAGUAGAAUGAUUAAAAGCACUCUAGUCUAAAAAAAAGGUUCUGUAUCAUCUGAUAACAGCAAUUGAAUUGCUAUGCAAGCUGAAUAUUUUACUUAUACUCUCAAAAUAUUUGUAUGCAUGAAAUAAAGUAGUUGGUAAUUAAUACUAUGACUUGAACAGUGAAAGGUGAUCAUAUUUCAUGAGGUAAACACUCAGAAUAGUUUGUGAUGUCAUAUUCAAUUAUGAAGUAAAAUGGAAAAAAAUAUUUCAUUCAAACUGAAAAUUACUUCAUAAAACAUUAACUCUAAAAGCAGCAGAACUAACACCCUUUUAGUCAUACUACUUGAAGAUGUUUCACUAUAAUAUUUACAGGGAAGUUUUAUAACCCUUAAAAAGGGAAACUCCACAUCAUUUUUAAAGUAAAUUAUGGGAAUUUUUACAGAAUAAGAUUGUAUUUUAUUAUUUUGAUAAUUAUUUUAACUGGGAAAAAAUGUUGUGUUUUGUGGCACAAACUUUAUUUUAUAGGUUAUUUUCAUGUUCAUUUCUGGGAAAAACAUUGUUUAAGUUAAAACAUUUUCUUCUACAGUUGUCAUGUGUGUAAUCUCCCUGUGUUUCUCUGAGUGUAUUUAAGUCGUGUCUUCUGUCUUAGUAGUUGCUGGUUCGUCUGUGUUGUUCCCCUCCAUUUUCCUGCGUAUCUCCCUCCAUGUCUCUCCGUGUCUCCCGUCAUCUCUGGGUUUGGUUUUCGGUUUGUUUUGUUAGUUGUUCCAGUCUAAGUUUAUUCUCGCCUCGCCGUUUCUGUUUGUUUGUCAUCCUCCUGGCUAAAUAAAGUUCACUCCCGUCACAAGCUGCAUCUUGGGUCCUUAUCUACUACUCCACACGUCUGCCACGCCAGACGUGACAACAGUAAAAUAUUGACCCUAGCACAAUUUUUAACUGUAAAAUCAACAAUAACAAUACCUUCUUACCGUGAAAGAAGAAAAUGUUUACCUGAAAUUUUACGGUGGAUUUCUGGCAACCACAGCUGCCAGCGUUUUACUGUAAAAUCUACUUUUUCUUUUCUUUUUUUUUGUUACUGUUAAGGUUGGCUGUGUGGCAGGCGGGCAAGCAGGAGUGGUGGACCCAAAAUGCAGGACUCAGACUCGAGGGAUGAACUCAAAAUACUCAGCUGUAUUUGCUGGCAUGGGAAAACGAGCAUACAAAGCAAACUAAACUGAGAAACAACAUAAACUCACGGGAAACACAGGGAGAUCCACACAGCAUGAGGGACGACACAACAUUGACUCAAAGAAACACAGGGUUUAAGUACACUGGGAAGUAACGAGGGGAAUGAGACACAGAAGGAGGGCACAGC